GUGAUAGGAUGUGGAUAACCACUGUAAAUCUGUCACCAUGGCUGGAAAACAAUCCCCAGCACCUGCCCUGCCAUGUAUGGAAAGCAGAACAUUUAUCAAGAUCAGUCCGGGAGAAGCCAGUUUGGAAUUUUUCCCAAAAGAUAAGAGGGGCUGAAUCUCAGGGAGAAAAAAACCUUAUACCAUGGCCAGAAAGAAGGAGAAAAUUCAUGGAAGCAAAAGGAAGGAUCAGUCAAAGGUGAAGAGAAAAGACCUUUCUUUUUGGCUGCUGUUGAAGUUAAAGUAAGUUCCAGAAUGUUAGGUAAGUAGGGAAGGAAGUAAAGGUGUUUUCUUCCAUUUCUGAGAAUGUGUCCUGUGUGCCUUCUAUUAAACCUUGCUUUUCAAAGAGAGCUAUGUCUUUAUCUGCAAAGGAUUAAAGCCAAAUGAGAAUAGCACUUGGCUUCCAACAGAGUAGCUCAUCAGCUGAACGAAGUCAUGAGCUGUGUCCCUAAGUGCUUAGUUGUAUAGUAAGGUAUUUAAGUCAAAGCUGAACCUUCUACCACAAACCUUGAAAUGGAAAAGGUCUCAGAUUUUUUUAUUAUUGUUUUAUAGUUGUUCAUGGAGGUCUCUUGGUUCUGAAACAUGUCCUAAAGCGGCAGAAAUUAUACCUUGGUGCUAAGCAGUAGUUCCUGACUUUAUUAAAAAAUUUUUUUUCUG
rnacentral:lncRNA from 1 species